UACGAAGGUGGCAAGCGUUACUCGGAAUUACUAGGCGUAAAGGGCAGGUAGGUGGUUUGAUAAGUCUGUUGUGAAAGCUCCCGGCCCAACUGGGGGAGGUCAACAGAAACUAUCAGGCUUGAGUAUGGGAGAGGGUACUGGAAUUCCUGGUGUAGCGGUGAAAUGCGCAGAUAUCAGGAGGAACACCGAUGGCGAAAGCAGGUACCUGGACCAUUACUGACACUCAGCUGCGAAAGCUAGGGGAGCAAACAGG
rnacentral:rRNA from 1 species